UAAGGGAGCUACCAUUUGAUUUUUAUGGGGGGCUAGGAUGAAAUUUGAAAAAAUAGGCAGGACAGGAGUUUUGAGUAAAAAAAAAAGGCAGGAUGAGACACUUUGCAAAAAAAAAAAAGGCAGGAUGACAAUUUAAGUAAAAAAAGUCAGGAUAAACUAAUAAAAAAAAGGCAGGACCGAAUAGAGUGGAAAAUAAAAAGGCAGGACAGAGAUUACAACUAAAAAAAAAUGCAGGACAAAAUUUUUCAUCCUAGCCCCCCCAUAAAAAUCAAAUGGUAGCUCCCUAAUGGGUUUUUAUUCAAUAAAAUUGGUGUUUUUUUUUCAGUUUUCUGAUGAUAUCUCAAAAAUGCUUUCACAAAGCAAGGAAUUUUGGUGAAUUGUUUAUAUCUAUUAACAUGAGGUAACUUUCAAUUUUUAUAAAUUUUAGAUUUUACGUUUCCGAGUUAACGGGUUUUAUUAAUUAAAAAGGGGUGAUUUUCCAGUUUUC
rnacentral:lncRNA from 1 species